UAGGGAAUCUUCGGCAAUGGACGAACGUCUGACCGAGCAACGCCGCGUGAGUGAAGAAGGUUUCCGGAUCGUAAAACUCUGUUGUUAGAGAAGAACAAGGACGUUAGUAACUGAACGUCCCCUGACGGUAUCUAACCAGAAAGCCACGGCUAACUACGUGCCAGCAGCCGCGGUAAUACGCAGGUGGCAAGCGUUGUCCGGAUUUAUUGGGCGUAAAGCGAGCGCAGGCGGUUUCUUAAGUCUGAUGUGAAAGCCCCCGGCUCAACCGGGGAGGGUCAUUGGAAACUGGGAGACUUGAGUGCAGAAGAGGAGAGUGGAAUUCCAUGUGGAGCGGUGAAAUGCGUAGAUAUAUGGAGGAACACCAGUGGCGAAGGCGGCUCUCUGGUCUGUAACUGACGCUGAGGCUCGAAAGCGUGGGGAGCAAACAGG
rnacentral:rRNA from 1 species